rnacentral:rRNA from 1 species
AGUGAACGCUGGCGGUAGGCCUAACACAUGCCAGUCGAACGGCAGCACAGUAAGAGCUUGCUCUUACGGGUGGCGAGUGGCGGACGGGUGAGGAAUACAUCGGAAUCUACUUUUUCGUGGGGGAUAGCGUAGGGAAACUUACGCUAAUACCGCAUACGACCUACGGGUGAAAGCAGGGGAUCUUCGGACCUUGCGCGAUUGAAUGAGCCGAUGUCGGAUUAGCUAGUUGGCGGGGUAAAGGCCCACCAAGGCGACGAUCCGUAGCUGGUCUGAGAGGAUGAUCAGCCACACUGGAACUGAGACACGGUCCAGACUCCUACGGGAGGCAGCAGUGGGGAAUAUUGGACAAUGGGCGCAAGCCUGAUCCAGCCAUACCGCGUGAGUGAAGAAGGCCUUCGGGUUGUAAAGCCCUUUUGUUGGGAAAGAAAAGCAGCAGGUUAAUACCCCGCUGUUCUGACGGUACCCAAAGAAUAAGCACCGGCUAACUUCGUG